CCUACGGGAGGCAGCAGUGGGGAAUAUUGCACAAUGGGGGAAACCCUGAUGCAGCGACGCCGCGUGAGUGAAGAAGUAUUUCGGUAUGUAAAGCUCUAUCAGCAGGGAAGAAAAUGACGGUACCUGACUAAGAAGCCCCGGCUAACUACGUGCCAGCAGCCGCGGUAAUACGUAGGGGGCAAGCGUUGUCCGGAAUGACUGGGCGUAAAGGGAGUGUAGGCGGCCUUGUAAGUUAGAUGUGAAAUCCUACGGCUUAACCGUAGAACUGCAUCUAAAACUGUGAGGCUGGAGUGCAGGAGAGGUGAGUGGAAUUCCUAGUGUAGCGGUGGAAUGCGUAGAUAUUAGGAGGAACACCAGAGGCGAAGGCGACUCACUGGACUGUAACUGACGCUGAGGCUCGAAAGCGUGGGGAGCAAACAGGAUUAGAUACCCUUGUAGUC
rnacentral:rRNA from 1 species